rnacentral:rRNA from 1 species
GACGAACGCUGGCGGCGUGCCUAAUACAUGCAAGUAGAACGCUGAAGAGAGGAGCUUGCUCUUCUUGGAUGAGUUGCGAACGGGUGAGUAACGCGUAGGUAACCUGCCUAGUAGCGGGGGAUAACUAUUGGAAACGAUAGCUAAUACCGCAUAACAAUGGAUGACACAUGUCAUUUAUUUGAAAGGGGCAAUUGCUCCACUACAAGAUGGACCUGCGUUGUAUUAGCUAGUAGGUGAGGUAACGGCUCACCUAGGCGACGAUACAUAGCCGACCUGAGAGGGUGAUCGGCCACACUGGGACUGAGACACGGCCCAGACUCCUACGGGAGGCAGCAGUAGGGAAUCUUCGGCAAUGGGGGCAACCCUGACCGAGCAACGCCGCGUGAGUGAAGAAGGUUUUCGGAUCGUAAAGCUCUGUUGUAAGUCAAGAACGAGUGUGAGAGUGGAAAGUUCACACUG